rnacentral:lncRNA from 1 species
CAACACAAGCUCAACACACUGUACCUUGAAGGUGAAUUUGCAGGACAGCCCGGGAUCACCAGAGCCGCCUACGUUCAGCCGAGGUGUGCACGCCAGCUGGGCUCUGGAACCUCACAGAUCGGGUGCAAAGGAGAGCAGAGGAGGCAGCGCAGUGGGAGCGACAUCUUGUGGAAGAGAAUCAGGUGCACAACACUGGGAAGUUCUGGUUCCAACCUGGAAGAUUCGCAGAUGAGCCCUGAAACAGUCCUCCUGGGACCAGAGGGACUUGGGGCACGGGAGGUGGGGGUGACGAUGAACCGAGUGCAGGGAGCAAGCGCGGGGCGGUGAGAGGAGAGAAGAAUCUGCCAGUAACCAGUAAGUGGAGGAUUAGGAGUGUUUCGCGUGGUGCUUGCUCUCACACCGCCUGUUUUAAAAUCUUGCACUGCAGGAUGCCAGUGGC